GGCGUUAAAUUAGUGCCAAAAGUCGCGCGCAUAAAAAGCACGCGCGCAUGCGCUCCCGAGCAGAAAAUCCAUGCUCUCUACGCGCUCGUGUCUGCGCAGCACUCGCUCGCUAGACAGGAAGAAUUUUGACACUUUGGAGGCGGGAACAGUGGCUAAUGGCUCCGCUUCUUUGAUUGUUUUUUUUAUUAUUUUUUUUUAAAUAUUGACUACGAUUGGCUAUUUGCUUUGGUAGAAGAUGAAGAUAACUGACCAGUGGAUGUGGGAUUCACACUGUCAUGAUGUCGGAGCAACUCAGAUACCACGUUCUCGAAAGUCUUCUGCAUAAAAUAAAAAUGGGAUUCAGCGCGACUCCACUAAAUUUGUAUUACCUGGAGUUCCUUUGUCAUCAGGAGCUGUAUCUUCUGCAGGCCCUGUCUAAUCACAUUGAAGUACCUCCUGCUAUCACCCUGGCUUUGCAAGAGCUCUUUGACCUUGUGAGGGCACAUCUGGAACGUCCAGCCCCAUGUGUCACACAUGAAAUCACUGCCACCAAUGGACGACCCAAGAUUUUGAUUGAAGAACUACUUUUGAAAGAAAUGCUCCAUACUCAACUUCUGUGCCUUGCAUAGCCACACUGAUGGGUGUUUCAAAAAGAACAAUCUUAAGAAGAAUGAAAGAGUAUGAGCUCUGUGUUAGGGACACAUAUAAUUCCAUCAGUGAUGAGGAACUUGAGAAUUUGGUUUCUUCUGUCAAGAAUGAUCUACCAAAUGCAGGCUACAGGAUGGUCAGAGGGAGGCUGCAGUCAAUGGGCUACAGGGUUUGGUGGAGAAGAGUUGCAGCCUCCAUGCAUAGGGUUGAUUCCAUGGGCAUUAUAUCAAGGUUGUCAAGUCUUAGCUGUGUUGUACGCAGAAUGUACUCUGUACCAGGGCCCUUGUCUCUGGUACACGUGGACACACACCACAAGUUGAUCUGGUUUGUAUUAACAUCAAAUUUAUUUGAAGUUUGUUCUUCUACAGCCCUGGGUGGAUUGGUGUGAGGUGGUGGUGGGGCUUUGGAGAAGAUUUCCUGCCGAUCAACACUGGCAACUUAUAUCUAUGUGUCAUGGAGGUCUCGGGACUCACAGAUAUUCAGAGACAUGUGGAUAGUUUACCGGUGUUUUUCAGCAGGAAAUAGUUAUUACUACAAAUUGUCACCCCCCCCCCCACAGAAACUUGAUCUGGCUAUAGUGGGAAAAUCUUUUUUUUUAUUUGUGAGAACUUGAAAGCCCUUAAAUUGCUUUCAGCAAAGUAAACAAAACUUGGAAAAAAUAUAUGUUCAUUCACCAACAGUUUCUAAUCUGGGGUCUAAAGUGGUCAGGCUUGCUAGUGUAUUUGGUUAUUUGUCUAUCCUAGCCUGUUUCAGUGUAUAUUUCCUGUAUAUUUUGCAUGUAAAAAUGUUGUUUGUUAUGUCAGUGCUUAAUAUUAUCAUGUAGUCUUCAUGAAAUUUAUUUUAACCUGACUUGAUGGCUUUCUUCAUCUUGGCCAGGGACACUUGAGUAAAAUUGGCACAUUUUCAGAAAUGCCAGCAACAAUACUGAUAAUGAACACCCCUCUAACUGACUCUCAGUUGGUUUAGAAAAAAGACUUUUAAGAGAAAAGAAAGCCUUCCUUUGGUUUUGCAUUUUUCUUUUUUUUUGUUAGCUGUGCACAACAUAUCAGAAGAAUACAUUACAAUUAAAUUAGUUAAGAAAUAACAGACUGCUUAUAUACAAUAUUAAGAUGAUAACAGCAACCCUCACUGUCUCUAGGUGCUGGUUCAGACAGGGCAUUCUGCAGCAGGGACACCACCCGUCGUGCAGCAUCCUGCAAAUCUCCCUAUCACAACAGCCCACAUAACAGAAUAACAUUCGUGUAUGAUUCAGUAGGGCUAGUCCAGGUCUGGAAAGUAGUUUGGCCAGAUUUUCAAACCAAGAAAUUUAGCUGGGCCAGACAUUUUCAGCGGCCCAGUAAGCAGCAGGUAAUGGCAUUUUAAACAAACACAAGUCAAGGUACAUUAUUUUAAAAAGCUACAACUGAACAGAAUCUGAGAGCAAUAUUUUUUCCACUUCUGAAAUAAGAAAAAUAUUGUGGUCGUAUCUGACCUAGACGCAUCUCAAAGUGCAUAAAAAGAAAAAAAUGCAUAUUAGAUGGUAAAAUGCCAGACAUAAAGAAAAAGGGAAAAAUCGGCUACAAUCAUCAUCCGCUUAUCAUCAUCUGGGCUCACCUGGAGCUGCUCCCGGAGGUGCCGCUAUGACUCAUGGGUAACAUGCCGGAAUGGGACGGCACCUGUAGGCUGGACCAGUUGUCAUGGGACGGCAACAUGGACAGACAGGUAGACGAGCUGUCUGAAUAAGCAGCUGCAAGUAUAAAACAAUAAAUGAAGCAGGUAUGUGGUGGGCAGUGUUACAGCGUCCUUAAUAUGGUCAGUACAGAAAAGCCAUGUCAUCAUAUUAUAUAUAUACUGCCUCCAGUUACUUAAUGCCUAACUUUAAUACAUUGAUUGAUUUGUUCACUGUUGUAACCUGUGUCAACUUUCCUUUCAGACAGAUGUAAAGUCCUUUCUGUUUUUGUUCUGUGUUUUUUUUUUUGAACAGCAUAAGGCUGAAUUCUGUUAAACCUCAGAUUGAAGAAAAUUGUAUUAACUGAAAAGCAAAUAUCAAAAACUCAGUCCGCAGGAAUGUUUUUCAGAAGAUUUCUGUGGACUUUUGGAAAUUUCACGAAAUUCCAUCGCUCGAUUACAUAAACACUGAGUGAGAUUUCAUUCCCAUUACUGCAAGGUAUGCAGAGGAUUAUGACUUAUUACUUUAGGUUAUCGGACUAAGUGAGUUUUGGAAAUUUGCUCUUCAAUUGAUAACCGAAGCAGUGCUGUGAAUGCAGAGGUUAUAUACGUCGCAUAUCAACAGAGCUGUAUGUUUAUGUCUUGUCUUAAUUAUUUUGAUUAAUUGUCUGACUAUUCCCAAUAUGUGUGAACAUACUUGGCCAAAUAAAGCUGAUUCUGAUUCAGUCAGAGGGUAAUCGUCGGUGUGCUGUACUAUCGUGGUGACCCACAGAGAGCUUAGGACCAUGAUUUCAGUGUCCGCUUGUGUGAGGGGACAGGCAGGGCAGCUGCUCACUGGGUGAUGCGCUCCUGUGGGUAUAGGGGCUGGGAUAGGGUGCGGAGCGGUUACUCCUCAAGGAGGAGUAACGGUCACAGCCGUGGGGGGAGGAGAGGGAGAGGGUGCUCCCAAACUGGGGGUGUGGGUUUGACGAAGAGCAGAGAUCCUGCAGGAAACGGGCCAAGCUGCAGGGCCAGUUCAAAAGCAUAGUGCGAGGCGUCCAGAAGGGGGCGCGGUCUGGGCGGAGUCAGCUAAAGAAGAAAAAGGCCUGACCAUUUUCUGGAUGCUGUGGACUGUGUUUGUGUGCGAGCUGCAGCUGCAUGUUCCUUACAUUUUUUUAUCAACACCAGUACCGUGAGGUUUGGCCUGGACUGGGUCCUGUCCUGCACGGUUGAAGGCAUGUUGACUGAUGGCCAGCCCAUGUUCUGUUGAAUCCCACAGAAAGGAAAUGGGAAUCUCAUUUGGAUCGGAUGCUGACAGUUGAAUAAAAAACUCAUGUCUGUGUGUUAUGAAAGAAUAUCAAUAAAUGUUUCCGAAAGGG